CAGGCGUGGAACCUGCGGCUUAAUUUGACUCAACACGGGAAAUCUCACCAGGCCAGGACACUGGAAGGAUUGACAGAUUGAGAGCUCUUUCUUGAUUCGGUGGGUGGUGGUGCAUGGCCGUUCAUAGUUCGUGGGUCGACUUGUCUGCUUAAUUGCGAUAACGAGCGAGAUCCUAGCCUGCUAACUAGUCGGCUCCGCCAUCCCUUGUGCAGGCGGCGAUCUCCAAUCUUCUUAGAGGGACAGGCGGCUUCUAGCCGCACGAAACUGGGCAAUAACAGGUCUGUGAUGCCCUUAGAUGUUCUGGGCAGCACGCGCGUUACACUGAAGGGAUCAACGUGUGUUUUCCUAGCCCGAGAGGGCCGGGUAACCCGCUGAACCUCCUUCGUGCUAGGGAUUGGGGCUUGCAAUUGUUCCCCACGAACGAGGAAUGCCUAGUAAGCGGAAGUCAUAAGCUUCCAUUGAUUAUGUCCCUGCCCUUUGUUCACACCGCCCGUCGCUACUACCGAUUGAAUAUUUUAGUGAGGUCUUCGGACUGUCGCUCAGCGUCUUACGGGCGCUCUGCGUCGGAAAGAUGACCGAACUUGAAUAUUUAGA
rnacentral:rRNA from 1 species